UAAGGAAUAUUGCUCAAUGGGAGAAAUCCUGAAGCAGCAACGCCGCGUGGAGGAUGAAGGGUCUAUGACUUGUAAACUCCUGUAAAGAAGGAAAAAAUUCCCAUUUGAUGGGAGAUGAUGGUACUUCUGGAGUAAGCCCCGGCUAACUACGUGCCAGCAGCCGCGGUAAUACGUAGGGGGCAAGCGUUGUCCGGAUUUGCUGGGUGUAAAGGGUGCUCAGGCGGAUUUGUAAGUCAGAGGUGAAAUCUUACAGCUUAACUGUGAAACUGCCUUUGAUACUGCAAGCCUAGAGUAUGGAAGAGAGUGAUGGAAUAUCUGGUGUAGCAGUGAAAUGCGUAGAUAUCAGAUAGAACACCAAUGGCGAAGGCAGUCACUUGGUCCAUUACUGACGCUAAAGCACGAAAGCGUGGGUAGCAAACA
rnacentral:rRNA from 1 species